GGCUCCCAGAGCAUGAGGAAAGUGCCCACGUGGCCGCUCCACAGUGCGGUUAAGGUUUUUACUGUAGACAUGAGAGAAAGAAAAGCUGGAGGUGUCUGUUGGUCCAGAGCAGAGAGAGAAGAAAUCCUAGCAUGGUCUGCAGACUAGACAUGGCCAGGGAAGCAGGAGAGGGAGAGAGCGAGUGAGCGAGAGAGAAGAAAGCAGAACUAGAGAGAGCAAGUGAGGAGCAGCAGAGCACAGAGGGCUAGGAGGGUGAGUUGCUGAGGGAUGGGAAGGGCCGGGACAUGGGUGUGGGGGCUUUGGGUUGUGUAACAAAGACUGAGGGACUUGGAGGUCAGCUCAGCUUCAGUGCAGCCACAGGUCAAGGAGCCGUAUGUCCCUUCUGCCAGAGGUUGGGGAAAUGACUGCUUUCGGCAGCGGGGCACCAGUUUCACAAGCUCCCGAGGAACACUGGCUUUUCUCUAACCCAGAAGUCCUGCCAAAUCCAGGUGGAGGUCAUUUCUUCCUAUCCGCACAGCUGGAGACCUAACAGGGGCCCCAGCCAGGGGACGUCAUGGCUGUAUAGAUCUUGAGAUCUAUAGGAGGCUGACGGGAGCAGAUUCCUGGCAUUUCCACACGGGGAGAGCCUGGUGUGGGCUGGGUCUAGAAAUGUCCUUCCCUACCAUGGCAGAUCCUCCAGAGACGCGAAGCACGGGAAGGGGACCUGUCCUCUGCGUCAGCAAAGCCAUCUUGCCACUCUCGAGAUGGGUGAGCUCCAGCCCCAGCAUGCUGUACUUUUGAGACUUACGGAAGAAUUCAUGGAAAACCACCACGCCCCUCGGCUCCAGCAUGACCAGAGGCCACGGGUCCACGCUUGCUCCGGCUGGAUGGCACCAUCUGCAGAGCGUCAGCCCGAUGAGGGUUGUGACUGCCUCGCCUGCUGAGGCGUCAUACGGUCCUCGUGACUCAGGCUGCUCUCGUGCUGUGUUCAUAAGGUCUCAGUUAAUACACAAAGGACCAGUUCACACCCAAGUGAAACGCAUGUUUGGAUACAGGCGCUGUUUUCAGACGGACACCAAAGCUAUGGGUCAUCUGGGAACACGCUGCUUCCAUCCACCAGACCAGUGA
rnacentral:lncRNA from 1 species